UACGAAGGGGGCUAGCGUUGUUCGGAAUUACUGGGCGUAAAGCGCACGUAGGCGGAUAUUUAAGUCAGGGGUGAAAUCCCAGAGCUCAACUCUGGAACUGCCUUUGAUACUGGGUAUCUCGAGUAUGGAAGAGGUGAGUGGAAUUCCGAGUGUAGAGGUGAAAUUCGUAGAUAUUCGGAGGAACACCAGUGGCGAAGGCGGCUCACUGGUCCAUUACUGACGCUGAUGCGCGAAAGCUAGGGGAGCGAACGGG
rnacentral:rRNA from 1 species